rnacentral:rRNA from 1 species
CCUCGGGAGGCAGCAGUGGGGAAUUUUCCGCAAUGGGCGAAAGCCUGACGGAGCAAUACCGCGUGAGGGAAGACGGCCUAUGGGUUGUAAACCUCUUUUUUCAGGGAGGAAUUCAAUGACGUGUACCUGAAGAAUAAGCAUCGGCUAACUCCGUGCCAGCAGCCGCGGUAAGACGGAGGAUGCAAGUGUUAUCCGGAAUCACUGGGCGUAAAGCGUCUGUAGGUGGUUGAACAAGUCAACUGUUAAAUCUUGAGGCUUAACUUCAAAAUCGCAGUCGAAACUGUUUGACUAGAGUAUAGUAGGGGUAAAGGGAAUUUCCAGUGGAGCGGUGAAAUGCGUAGAUAUUGGAAAGAACACCGAUGGCGAAGGCACUUUACUGGGCUAUUACUGACACUCAGAGACGAAAGCUAGGGUAGCAAAUGGGAUUAGAUACCCCAGUAGUCCUAGCCGUAAACAAUGGAUACUAGAUGUUGAACAGAUCGACCUGUGCAGUAUCAAAGCUAACGCGUUAAGUAUCCCGCCUGGGAAGUAUGCUCGCAAGAGUGAAACUCAAAGGAAUUGACGG